rnacentral:rRNA from 1 species
GUCCACGCCGUAAACGAUGGAUGCUAGCCGUUGGCGAGCUUGCUCGUCAGUGGCGCAGCUAACGCUUUAAGCAUCCCGCCUGGGGAGUACGGUCGCAAGAUUAAAACUCAAAGGAAUUGACGGGGGCCCCGCACAAGCGGUGGAGCAUGUGGUUCAAUUCGAAGCAACGCGAAGAACCUUACCAGCCCUUGACAUCCCGGUCGCGGAGCGCAGAGACGCACUCCUUCAGUUCGGCUGGACCGGAGACAGGUGCUGCAUGGCUGUCGU